CCUACGGGUGGCAGCAGUGGGGAAUAUUGCGCAAUGGGCGAAAGCCUGACCCAGCGACGCCGCGUGAGGGAUGAAGGUCUUCGGAUCGUAAACCUCUGUCAGCAGGGAAGAACGGGCACUGUGCUAAGCAGCAAUGAAUUGACGGUACCUGAAAAGGAAGCACCGGCUAACUGCGUGCCAGCAGCCGCGGUAAUACGGAGGGUGCGAGCGUUAAACGGAAUUACUGGGCGUAAAGCGCGCGUAGGCGGUAUGUCAAGUCAAGGGUGAAAUCCCCGGGCUCAACGUGGGAACUGCGUUUGAAACUGGUGGACUGGAGUGUAUGAGAGGCUAGUGGAAUUCCUGGUGUAGGGGUGAAAUCCGUAGAUAUUUGGAGGAACACCAGUGGCGAAGGCGACUAUCUGGCACAUAACUGACGCUGAGGAGCGAAAGCGUGGGUAGCAAACAGGAUUAGAUACCCCUGUAGUC
rnacentral:rRNA from 1 species